rnacentral:lncRNA from 1 species
CCAGUAAAAAACAAUUCACAAAAAUGGUGCGUAUAGGCCACAACAGAACGCGUUAGCCGAAAGCACAAAAGCGUAUGAGAAGAAGGAUAGGCAGGCAGGCAGGUUUCAUUCCAGGAAGCCUCCAACCCCAAGGACGAUGUCAAGGCUUGGAAAAAUGAAGAAUAUUCUACAAAGUCCAAAACUUCUCUAUCUUUAAAUUACCUCUUUUUGGAGACCCUUUGGACCAGCUUUCUUCUUUCAC